rnacentral:lncRNA from 1 species
UGCAAGGUAAUAACCGACAUUUUUCCAGUUAUCAAGUGCACACAGGGUUUUAUACCACUCCAUGCUUCUUCAGGUAUGAUAUCCUUAAUUAACAAUGAAUAACUCAUAUUCAAGGCAUAAGUUGCCCAUUUCAUUGCUUCCGACCAAAACUUAUUUGACACAUUUUUGCGUGACACCAUACUUCUCACAAGAGAUGUGUUAUUUG